CAAUAGCGUAUAUUUAAGUUGCUGCAGUUAAAAAGCUCGUAGUUGGAUUUCGGGUGGGAAUGGCCGGUCCGCCGUUUCGGUGUGCACUUGCUACGCCCACCUUGCUGCCGGGGACGUGCUCUUGAGUUCACGCUCGGGACACGGAGUCGGCGAGGUUACUUUGAGUAAAUUAGAGUGUUCAAAGCAGGCCUACGCUCUGAAUACAUUAGCAUGGAAUAACACGAUAGGACUCUGGCCUAUCUUGUUGGUCUGUAGGACCGGAGUAAUGAUUAAGAGGGACAGUCGGGGGCAUUCGUAUUUCAUUGUCAGAGGUGAAAUUCUUGGAUUUAUGGAAGACGAACUAGUGCGAAAGCAUUUGCCAAGGAUGUUUUCAUUGA
rnacentral:rRNA from 1 species